AGUGAACGCUGGCGGUAGGCCUAACACAUGCCAGUCGAACGGCAGCACAGUAAGAGCUUGCUCUUACGGGUGGCGAGUGGCGGACGGGUGAGGAAUACAUCGGAAUCUACUUUUUCGUGGGGGAUAACGUAGGGAAACUUACGCUAAUACCGCAUACGACCUACGGGUGAAAGCAGGGGAUCUUCGGACCUUGCGCGAUUGAAUGAGCCGAUGUCGGAUUAGCUAGUUGGCGGGGUAAAGGCCCACCAAGGCGACGAUCCGUAGCUGGUCUGAGAGGAUGAUCAGCCACACUGGAACUGAGACACGGUCCAGACUCCUACGGGAGGCAGCAGUGGGGAAUAUUGGACAAUGGGCGCAAGCCUGAUCCAGCCAUACCGCGUGGGUGAAGAAGGCCUUCGGGUUGUAAAGCCCUUUUGUUGGAAAAGAAAAGCAGCAGGUUAAUACCCCGCUGUUCUGACGGUACCCAAAGAAUAAGCACCGGCUAACUUCGUG
rnacentral:rRNA from 1 species